UACUCCUCCUCCGCUUCAUGACCCAGGCUGUCAGGUAGGUACUCCUCCUCCGCUUCAUGACCCAGGCUGUCAGGUAGGUACUCCUCCUCCGCUUCAUGACCCAGGCUGUCAGGUAGGUACUCCUCCUCCGCUUCAUGACCCAGGCUGUCAGGUAGGUACUCCUCCUCCGCUUCAUGACCCAGGCUGUCAGGUAGGUACUCCUCCUCCGCUUCAUGACCCAGGCUGUCAGGUAGGUACUCCUCCUCCGCUUCAUGACCCAGGCUGUCAGGUAGGUACUCCUCCUCCGCUUCAUGACCCAGGCUGUCAGGUAGGUACUCCUCCUCCGCUUCAUGACCCAGGCUGUCAGGUAGGUACUCCUCCUCCGCUUCAUGACCCAGGCUGUCAGGUAGGUACUCCUCCUCCGCUUCAUGACCCAGGCUGUCAGGUAGGUACUCCUCCUCCGCUUCAUGACCCAGGCUGUCAGGUAGGUACUCCUCCUCCGCUUCAUGACCCAGGCUGUCAGGUAGGUACUCCUCCUCCGCUUCAUGACCCAGGC